rnacentral:lncRNA from 1 species
UGCACUUCUAGACCAUCUGCUAUACUGGUUUUGCAGACUGGAAUAGGUGCACUGGAAAGAGGGCAACCAUCCGUCACAGGGAUGGUUACACAAGAAAACAGCAAAAACUAUUAUUCCAUUGUCAACAUCGAGUCCCUAAAAUUGCUGCAAUGGGGCAUACAACAAUCUGAAAUAUCGUCUGGAAUUUGCAGUGACAAUAAUGGAAUUUUGAAUGGCAAAGGAAAAGAGCAGGCACUGCUUAUCCAUGAAUAUGGUACCUAUGUACCACUGUCAGCUUCAACCAGCCAUUUGAAAAUGAAAAGCAGAUCUGGGAUAGGAUCAUCGUGAAGAUACAUCUAGCUGGUGAAAAGUCCAGCAGAGCAUACAGCAAGAUACUAUUUCAGGUGAAGGAAUCUGUCUCAGUGGCUUUGAACAGAGUUCUAGCUGAAAUAUAUUGCCAUUAUUUCUUAAUUUCACUGAUUGUAUAAAGUAUGCAAUCGGUAACCAACAUUUCUAAUACAGACAUAUUCCCCUACAUGCAUCUCCAAGCCAAAGUUUCUCUAAAUUGAAAAACAAAGAAACACUCGUGAUGGAAGGAUAGAACACUGUGCUUCUUUCUUCUUCAUGGAUGAAUCCUAUACUUUUUCUCAGAAAAUGCACAUUUCUGUAAUUCAAAGUAUGUCAUUUUUCAGAGUACGGAGUUUGCUUUAAGUGUUGAAUUAGGUCAGUUUUUAUAGAAUCUUGUUCAGUG